rnacentral:rRNA from 1 species
CAGCCGCCGCGGUAAUUCGUAGGUCCCGAGCGUUGUCCGGAUUUAUUGGGCGUAAAGCGAGCGCAGGCGGUUAGAUAAGUCUGAAGUUAAAGGCUGUGGCUUAACCAUAGUACGCUUUGGAAACUGUUUAACUUGAGUGCAGAAGGGGAGAGUGGUAUUCCAUGUGUAGCGGUGAAAUGCGUAGAUAUAUGGAGGAACGCCGGUGGCGAAAGCGGCUCUCCGGUCUGUAACUGACGCUGAGGCUCGAAAGCGUGGGGAGCGAACAGGAUUAGAUACCCGAGUAGUCCCUGUCUCUUAUACC